AGGUAUGUCAGAAAAUUUUCACAAAGAGAACACUUCAAUUUGAGUUCCCUCUCUAGGGUAUGUGUUCUGCAAGAGGAUGCAGCUGCCAGCUGAGCCCUGGUCAAUCUGAACCACACAGCAGUCAGUCAUACACCCUGAGACUCCAGGUACACAUCCUGAUCCUGAUGAAAGAAGACUCUCGAGGACAUCAUGAUGCUUCUAAUUAGUUUAAAGUUUAAUUAUUCAAAUUUGUGUUUGCUAUUUUGCAUUUAUACUAAUCAAGCAAUGAAUCCAUUAUGAAACACUUGUUAUUAGAAUUUUAUCCCCCCUCUUGCUUGGAUUAUUGUCAUUGUGUCCUAACUAGUGUGUCUGUCUGUUCUUAGGGAAUUUGAACUCUAAUUAAGAUUGCAAAUUAAAAUUCAAGAUGCCCCAUUGAAUGUAAAUUUCCAAUAAGCAACUUUUUUAAAGUAUAAGUUUGUCCCAAGAUUAAAGUUUGUCCCAAGAAUUAAAAAAAAAACAACUUUCUUCAAUGUUGUUGACUACUUGCAAA